CGACGUCUUCAGGGCGGGGCGGAAUUCCCCACCGGCGGUAGGUUCCUCGGAACGAGCCCGCGAGCGCUCCCGGCAGCAUCGGGAGGUCAGCAGAUCCGGUCCGAUGCCGGAGCCGACGGUCCACGCUGUCCCGGUUCGCCGGGGCGGCCCACAGUCCGGAUGAAAGAAGACGGCU
rnacentral:ncRNA from 2 species